GGGGAAUAUUGCACAAUGGGGGAAACCCUGAUGCACCGAUGCCUCGUGGAGGAAGAAGGUUUUCUGAUUGUAAACUCCUGUCGAAGAGGACGAUAAUGACGGUACUCUUCAAGAAAGCUCCGGCUAACUACGUGCCAGCAGCCGCGGUAAUACGUAGGGAGCGAGCGUUGUCCGGAAUUACUGGGUGUAAAGGGAGCGUAGGCGGGAUGGCAAGUCAGAUGUGAAAACUAUGGGCUCAACCCAUAGACUGCAUUUGAAACUGUUGUUCUUGAGUGAGGUAGAGGUAAGCGGAAUUCCUGGUGUAGCGGUGAAAUGCGUAGAGAUCAGGAGGAACAUCGGUGGCUAAGGCGGCUUACUGGGCCUUUACUGACGCUGAGGCUCGAAAGCGUGGGGAGCAAACAGGAUUAGAUACCCUAGUAGUCCACGCCGUAAACGAUGAGUACUAAGUGUUGGGGGUCAAACCUCAGUGCUGCAGUUAACGCAAUAAGUACUCCGCCUGAGUAGUACGUUCGCAAGAAUGAAACUCAAAGGAAUUGACGGGGGCCCGCACAAGCGGUGGAGCAUGUGGUUUAAUUCGAAGCAACGCGAAGAACCUUACCAGGUCUUGACAUCCGAUGCAUAACACAGAGAUGUGUGAAAUCCUUCGGGACAUCGAGACAGGUGGUGCAUGGUUGUCGUCAGCUCGUGUCGUGAGAUGUUGGGUUAAGUCCCGCAACGAGCGCAACCCUUAUUGCCAGUUAAUACGUUAAGAGGACUCUGGCGAGACUGCCGUUGACAAAACGGAGGAAGGUGGGGAUGACGUCAAAUCAUCAUGCCCUUUAUGACCUGGGCUACACACGUACUACAAUGGCGUUAAACAAAGAGAAGCAAGACCGCGAGGUGGAGCAAAACUCAAAAACAACGUCUCAGUUCAGAUUGCAGGCUGCAACUCGCCUGCAUGAAGUCGGAAUUGCUAGUAAUCGCGGAUCAGCAUGCCGCGGUGAAUACGUUCCCG
rnacentral:rRNA from 1 species